UACGGGAGGCAGCAGUGGGGAAUAUUGCACAAUGGGCGCAAGCCUGAUGCAGCCAUGCCGCGUGUAUGAAGAAGGCCUUCGGGUUGUAAAGUACUUUCAGUCGUGAGGAAGGUGUUAAGGUUAAUAACCUUAGCAAUUGACGUUAGCGACAGAAGAAGCACCGGCUAACUCCGUGCCAGCAGCCGCGGUAAUACGGAGGGUGCGAGCGUUAAUCGGAAUUACUGGGCGUAAAAGGCACGCAGGCGGUUAAUUAAGUUGGAUGUGAAAUCCCCGGGCUUAACCUGGGAAUGGCAUUCAAGACUGGUUAGCUAGAGUCUUGUAGAGGGGGUAGAAUUCCAUGUGUAGCGGUGAAAUGCGUAGAGAUGUGGAGGAAUACCGGUGGCGAAGGCGGCCCCUGGGACAAAGACUGACGCUCAUGUGCGAAAGCGUGGGGAGCAAACAGGGAUUAGAUACC
rnacentral:rRNA from 1 species